rnacentral:rRNA from 1 species
CAGUAGCCGCGGUAAUACAGAGGGUGCGAGCGUUAAUCGGAUUUACUGGGCGUAAAGCGUGCGUAGGCGGCUAAUUGAGUCGGAUGUGAAAUCCCCGAGCUUAACUUGGGAAUUGCAUUCGAUACUGGUUAGCUAGAGUGUGGGAGAGGAUGGUAGAAUUCCAGGUGUAGCGGUGAAAUGCGUAGAGAUCUGGAGGAAUACCGAUGGCGAAGGCAGCCAUCUGGCCUAAUACUGACGCUGAGGUACGAAAGCAUGGGGAGCAAACAGGAUUAGAUACCCCAGUAGUCCCUGUCUCUUAUAC